GUUAGUCUGUAUUCAGCUCCAAGGUGGUCCAAAGAGAGCUAUAUUUCACGUCUCCUCCGACAGGCUUACGACAUCAACAGAGGAGAGCCCUGACUUCAAUUCAGGAGAUGAGGCAUGAGGAGAGGAGGAAGAGGAUGACUCUUCAUCCAGAUGCCAGCAGCAGUGACUCGUUCCAUCAUGUCUUUGCUUCUUUGGUGAAGGGGACCUCUUCUCAUCACAGGAACACCUAUGGGUUAUCUUCUCCCCUGCCUUUAGUGUACAAUAGCACUAAGAUCUUCCAACCAGAUGCUCCUGAUGCAACCGAGGUCUCGUCUGAAGUCCGGAGGUGAUCGGGCCUUUGCUAUCAUAGCACCCAGACUCUGGAAUAACCUCCCUCCUUAUAUUCAUUCCAUCCAGUCUUUUAAAUUGUGUCUUCAAACUUAUUAUUUUAGUCUGGCUUUUGAUUCAAACUAGCUGGUUAUUUCGUGGCUAGUUAUGCUGUUUACCCAUAUUGUUUCUACAGACUGCCUCAAUAAUGUGUAAUUGUUUUGUGUAAUUUUUAAUCUUGUUUGUUUGUAUGUAUUUGUUUGGAAAUGUGCUGCCUCUUGGCCAGGACUCCCUUGAAAAAGAGGUUUUUAAUCUCAAUGGGACAUUCCUGGUUAAAUAAAGGUU